GACGAACGCUGGCGGCGUGCCUAAUACAUGCAAGUCGAGCGAUGAAGCUUGGUGCUUGCACCACUUUGAAGAGCAGCGAACGGGUGAGUAACGCGUGGGGAAUCUGCCUUUGAGCGGGGGACAACAUUUGGAAACGAAUGCUAAUACCGCAUAACAACUUUAAACAUAAGUUUUAAGAUUGAAAGAUGCAAUUGCAUCACUCAAAGAUGAUCCCGCGUUGUAUUAGCUAGGUGGUGAGGGAAAGGCUCACCAAGGCGGAGAUACAGAGCCGACCCGAGAGGGGGGUCGGCCCCAUUGGGACUGGGACACCGGCCCAACCUCUACGGGAGGGAGCAGUAGGGAAUCCUCGGCCAAUGGCGAAAGUCCUGCCGAGGAACGGCGCGGGAGGGAAGGAGGGUUUCGGAUCGUAAAACUCUUUUUGUAGAGAAGAAAGUUAGUGGGAGUGGAAAGCGCAUGAAGUGACGGUAACUACUCAGAAAGGCACGGCUAACUACGUG
rnacentral:rRNA from 1 species